ensembl:snRNA U1 U1 spliceosomal RNA
AGACUUACCUGGCAGGGGAGAGACGAUGAUCACGAGGGUGCUUUUCCCGGGGCCAGGCUUAUCCGUUGCACUCUGGGUGUGCUGACCCCUACAAUUUCCUCAAAUAUGGGAAAACUGGACUGUGUCAUUUGUGGUACUGGGAGAUGGGAGAAGCAUUCGUGUUUUCCCCUA